UUGACGGGGCCCGCACAAGCGGUGGAGCAUGUGGUUUAAUUCGACGCAACGCGAAGAACCUUACCAGGGCUUGACAUCCCCUGACCGCGUAUGAAAGUACGUUUUCACCCUCGGGUGACAGGGAGACAGGUGGUGCAUGGUUGUCGUCAGCUCGUGUCGUGAGAUGUUGGGUUAAGUCCCGCAACGAGCGCAACCCCUACGUUUAGUUGCUAACGCGUGAAGGCGAGCACUCUAGACGAACUGCCGUUGACAAAACGGAGGAAGGUGGGGAUGACGUCAAAUCAUCAUGCCCCUUAUGUUCUGGGCUACACACGUGCUACAAUGGCCGGUACAGACGGAGGCGAAGCCGCGAGGCGGAGCAAAUCCGAAAAAGCCGGUCUCAGUUCGGAUUGCAGGCUGCAAUUCGCCUGCAUGAAGUCGGAAUCGCUAGUAAUCGCAGGUCAGCAUACUGCGGUGAAUACGUUCCCGGGCCUU
rnacentral:rRNA from 1 species